GAACUGAAGAGUUUGAUCCUGGCUCAGAUUGAACGCUGGCGGCAUGCCUUACACAUGCAAGUCGAACGGCAGCACGGGCUUCGGCCUGGUGGCGAGUGGCGAACGGGUGAGUAAUACAUCGGAACGUGCCCUGUCGUGGGGGAUAACUAGUCGAAAGAUUAGCUAAUACCGCAUACGACCUGAGGGUGAAAGCGGGGGACCGGUAACGGCCUCGCGCGACAGGAGCGGCCGAUGUCUGAUUAGCUAGUUGGUGGGGUAAAAGCCUACCAAGGCGACGAUCAGUAGCUGGUCUGAGAGGACGA
rnacentral:rRNA from 1 species